rnacentral:lncRNA from 1 species
CUUGUUAGUGGCAAGAACUCGAGUGCACUGUGCACUCUGUGAGGUCAUAAAGUGAAGAAAGUGCAAUUACACAAUGAAAAGGGGCAAGCACACUGCAUAAAAGUGUAGAUGAGCUAAAGCUACAUGGAAGAGACAAGACAGCAUGCCGGUGGGGGGAGCAGCCCAACAGGGGAGCCAGGCAGCUGUCUCCUGACUACUUUCUUGACUGGAAAACAUGGAAUGCCUCAGAAUGCUCCAUAUCUUUGUAAGAUGCUUAUUUUGCCUGCAAAAGAAAGUCAUGUGUCUGGAAUAAUAACAUGAAAUGAUAUGAGCAGUGGCGAUUCAAGAAAUUACUCUUCAAAAAAAGUCUAUAGACAUGGUCUCAGGAAAGCUAAAUGCCAAGCAUUAGCAUGAAGAGGCUUCAGGAAAGAUGGUUCCCCGAGGAUGACUUCAAAUUCUGAAAAUAAAAUGCAGCAGACCAGAUCGUAACGUCAGAAUUCAUUUUGGCAACUCUUGGAAAAGAAGAUUCAUUGUUUUGGUUGGUUUGUAAAGCUCUAAUGGUAAACUUCUGUUGUUUUCUAAAGAAAAGGUGGGCCCUUAGAGCACAUAAUAAAUAGUAACAUCGAUUUCACC